rnacentral:tRNA from 1 species
AAUUUUUUAAUAUAAUUAGUAUAUUUGGCUUCCAACCAAAAAGUCUAGAAAUUCUAGAAAAAUUA